rnacentral:tRNA from 5 species
GACCCUUUCGUCUAGUGGCUCAGGACGCCAUUCUCUCCGUUUGGAAACGAGAGUUCAAAUCUUUCAAGGGUCGCCA